UGUACUUCCUUUUCUUACAAGAAGGUAUUUUAGGCCUCUUGCUACAAAAUUAUUAUUCAGAUAGCUCCCCAGGAGCAACGUCUAUCUUCCCCUAUUCCCCAGGCAGAGACAACCUUUUCCUAUCUCACAUGGGAGACUCUUGAGCUCCAUCUUCUGGAAAACGUGGGACAAACUUGUUUUCCGAGCUGGUGCCCGUGCAAGCUGGGUGCGUUUGGUGCAGCGGCCAGCGGGGCAGGUGAGCCAGGUCCCACCCAAGGCAAACAUCCCCUUGCUCCUCCUUCCCCCGCGCUCCCGAAGGAGAACCGAAGCUUUUGCAAGACCCUCGGAAAAUACAGGAGAGGCUGAAUCAACACUUCCCAUUAUGCUCUCGCCUUGAUCUCCCUUACUUAGCAACCCGACUUUUUGUGCUGAUUUCAAAGCCACAACAUCAAUUAGAGCACUCUUCAUUCAGAGGAAAGCAGCGGAGGAGUCUCAGUGGCUGAAUAACAACUGCAGUGUCAUCUUCAAAUGUUUUGUUCCCUUCACCUGAUUCUGAAAAAAAAAGAAAAAAAAAGGAACCAAAACAAAACAAAGCAGUGCUUUCACUGCCUGAAUGUCAGCAACAACAAAAUUUCAGCUUACCAUCAGCCUCAGAUUAAUUCAGUAAUUUUUACUCUCAACAACACCAUUACAAUAUUACAUUGAAGGUAACUCCAUUUCACUCACCAACCUGGGGAAACUAAAGCUCUUCUGAUACAGAGUGCUGAUACUAGAAAAUGCUCUAGUAUUGCCAUGACCUGAACCCUUCAUGGACCCACAUGGCUUCCAGGAGAAAAAAGGGUGCCACUGGGUCCCCCUGGUUAUCAUGCAUUUCAUUCUGAAUAGGUGCCCACUAUAUUUAUAUGGGGUGUGUUAGUUUGAUUUAAUGUGAUCAAGCUUUCUUGGGACAGAAAUAGAAGAGAAAUAUCUGGAGUUGUGUCUGAAGUCUAAAAUGAAGUGAGGCUUUUGUGAAGAGUCCAUUGACUGCAUGGAUAUAGAAAUCCUAUACUGAACAAGUGUUGGAUGCCUACAAAAGGAUGAACCCUUUCUGACAAAAAAAUCUCUGCAUUGCAAAUGUCACAAGAUUUUCCUCUCAAAAAAGGGAAGGAAAAGAGAAAAAGGAAGUGGGUUUUUACAAAUGCUGUCAUAAUUUGAGGGUACUUCUGUGAAUUUAUUGGAAAAUCUAGGCCCUUACAAGACAGGGAAGAUAAAGUUUGAGAAUUGAAAUAUAAAAUACAUUUUCUCUUUUCAGUCAACAAAAUGCAAGGAGUAAAUUUUCUUUCCUCUGAAUUUUUGGCAAUUCCCCCAAAUUUGGAGCCCUUAAGGUGAUCAAUAUCUGCACAAACUCUUCUUGGUCCCCCAAGAUUUCUUCUAGGGCUUCCCUUCCCACAGAACAAGCUGCGAGUGCCUGGACAGGGGAAUGUGGCUCAGUGCUGGAGAGAAUGGCAUCCUUUCUAGAGAUGCUCCAACAAGGGCUCUUGUGUCCUGCUUCAUGGUGUCUUGUCUUUUUGGGCUCUUAGUGUUGGCUGAGUGUCGCAGUGUGUGACUCUCUUCAGUCCCAGGGCACACAGCGGCCAGGGGUGCGACACCUUCCCCCCUGGGGAGCUCUCACCUCCCCACCCAGGGACUCCGAUGUUCUUGGCAGUGUCUGUUUCGGAAGCAGAGAUGGAGUGGAGGUGAGACGGGUCUUGGGGUGAACUGAAGAGGUUUAUUAAGGAGAUGAGCAACUAAAAGACAACACCCCAAGAAGCCCCGAGCAGGGCUCGGGCAGUGGGUUUUAUACAACAGGCUUAGGGGAGGGGUAAAGGGAGAGGUAAAUUUGAAGCAACCAAUUAGGGUCUGUAUCUAGGGUGUUGCAUCCGCGGGUAAAACUAACAGAAACCAAUCCAGGAUGUGUGGGAUGGGUUUACACAAGGCGGGAAAGAUAAUAGACAGAUAACUGAAAGUCACAUAACAUAACAGGUGCACGCAUAACUUAAAGCAACUGAAGGAGACAAAGGAAUACUAAUGAGGGGGAUAGGGGUACAUGGAACUACAUUAAGGGCACAUAAAGAAGGAAAAUGGGGUAUGCAAAACUGAGUUAUUACAACAAAUAUGAAAUCAUAAUAAACUAAAAAUAAUGCACCGCCACAGCUAAGAUGUGUGCAACCCUGGCAUGUGGUAUGGCCUGUGAGCGCAACACACCACAAAUAUUAUUAACAAAAUGUUCUUCUAGUCCCAGCACCAGCAGGACAAUGGGACAAGU